UACGUAGGGGGCUAGCGUUGUCCGGAAUCAUUGGGCGUAAAGAGCGUGUAGGCGGUCCGGUAAGUCCGCUGUGAAAGUCGGGGGCUCAACCCUCGAAUGCCGGUGGAUACUGUCGGGCUAGAGUGCGGAAGAGGCGAGUGGAAUUCCUGGUGUAGCGGUGAAAUGCACAGAUAUCAGGAGGAACACCUAUUGCGAAGGCAGCUCGCUGGGACGUAACUGACGCUGAGACGCGAAAGCGUGGGGAGCAAACAGG
rnacentral:rRNA from 1 species